GGGCUCAUGGCGCAGUCUGGUAGCGCGCACGACUGAUAAUCGUGAGGUCCUGAGUUCAAAUCUCAGUGGGCCCA
rnacentral:tRNA from 1 species